rnacentral:piRNA from 1 species
UGAUGAACCUCUUAAGUGCAAAAGAUACCA